AUUGAACGCUAGCGGCAGGCCUAACACAUGCAAGUCGAGCGGAGCGGCGGACGGGUGAGUAAUGCCUCGGAAUCUGCCUGGUAGUGGGGGAUAACGUCCGGAAACGGGCGCUAAUACCGCAUACUAUCAGAUGAGCCUAGGUCGGAUUAGCUAGUGGGUGGGGUAAAGGCCUACCAAGGCGACGAGCCGUAACUGGUUUGAUAGGAUGAUCAGUCACACUGGAACUGAGACACGGUCCAGACUCCUACGGGAGGCAGCAGUGGGGAAUAUUGGACAAUGGGCGAAACCCUGAUCCAGCCAUGCCGCGUGUGCGAAGAAGGUCUUCGGAUUGUAAAGCACUUUAGGUUGGGAGGCGUUACCAACAGAAUAAGCACCGGCUAACUUCGUGCCAGCAGCCGCGGUAAUUC
rnacentral:rRNA from 1 species